rnacentral:rRNA from 1 species
GAUGAACGCUGGCGGCAGGCUUAAUACAUGCAAGUUGAACGGCAACAGGUGUAGCAAUACAUGCUGACGAGUGGCGUACGGGUGCGUAACAUGUGUGCAACCUACCUCUUACAGGAACAUAACGUUUAGAAAUGGGCGCUAAUAUUCCAUAUUAUUCUUAGGUGGCAUCACCAUAGAAUGAAAGUUUCGGCGGUACGAGAUGGGCACGCAUUCCAUUAGCUAGUUGGUAGGGUAACGGCUUACCAAGGCUACGAUGGAUAGGGGAACUGAGAGGUUAAUCCCCCACACUGGAACUGAGACACGGUCCAGACUCCUACGGGAGGCAGCAGUAAGGAAUAUUGGUCAAUGGAGGGAACUCUGAACCAGCCAUGCCGCGUGCAGGAAGACGGUCCUAUGGAUUGUAAACUGCUUUUAUUAGAGGAUAAAAUGAGGUACGUGUACUUUUUUGCAGGUAUCUAAUGAAUAAGCACCGGCUAACUCCGUGCCAGCCGCCGCAGUAA